rnacentral:rRNA from 1 species
CGAAAGCCUGACGGAGCAAGACCGCGUGAGGGAGGAAGGCCCUUGGGUUGUAAACCUCUUUUCUCAGGGAAGAAAACUGACGGUACCUGAGGAAUCAGCCUCGGCUAACUCCGUGCCAGCAGCCGCGGUAAUACGGAGGAGGCAAGCGUUAUCCGGAAUUAUUGGGCGUAAAGCGUCCGCAGGUGGCGAUUCAAGUCUGCUGUCAAAGCACGGGGCUUAACUCCGUUAAGGCAGUGGAAACUGAAUGGCUAGAGUGCCGUAGGGGUAGAGGGAAUUCCCGGUGUAGCGGUGAAAUGCGUAGAGAUCGGGAAGAACAUCGGUGGCGAAAGCGCUCUACUGGGUCGCACCUGACCCUCAGGGACGAAAGCUAAGGGAGCG